UACGUAGGGUGCAAGCGUUGUCCGGAAUUAUUGGGCGUAAAGAGCUCGUAGGCGGUCUGUCGCGUCGGAUGCGAAAAUCCAGGGCUCAACCCUGGACCUGCAUUCGAUACGGGCAGACGUAGAGUUCGGCAGGGGAGACUGGAAUUCCUGGUGUAGCGGUGAAAUGCGCAGAUAUCAGGAGGAACACCGGUGGCGAAGGCGGCUCACUGGCUCAUUACUGACGCUCGAGGCGCGACAGCGUGGGGAGCGAACAGG
rnacentral:rRNA from 1 species